CAUCAACUGGGAUGGAAACCAGAUCAAUUCCCACCCCGGAUUCAUAGAAACUCAAGUGCACACCAAGUGUUUGAUAGUUGUCCUUGUUACUGGUUCAGAAUUUUUGGGGCCCUUCAGAUAGAAGGGGUUGUUUCUGAUUCUUCUUCUAUAAGGUUCACUAAACAUAAGAGGUGGCUUAAAUCUGGUGACUUACAAGGUGUCCGGUGUGGACGUGCCCAAUAUUUCAAUCUAGUUGUACACCAUUACUGUCUAGAUAUGGAAUGGACAAGAAUUUCAGUGCACAGCAAGGGGAAAUAUAUUGUGCUGCACAUAAGAUAUAUUUCUCUUACCAUAUACAAUGUGUUCAAAAUAUGUAACUCCAAUGGUUAUGUAUCUAUCGGUCAUCUUGCUAUUAGAAUGUUGUUCAAAACAAAGAAACUUUGCUUGAGAAUGUUAGUGCAUGCCAGGACCAAAAAACUUCUAUUGCAAACAAGCUGGUAUCUUUUCAAAAUCACAUACAAAUUUUGUUCAAAAUAUACUGCUACCUUGUUUAUUACUUCUUCUUUGCUAUCAGAAGUUGUCCUGGACAAAAAACAACAAAAGGUGCUAAUACAUGCAAUAAGAGUGCUUCAAGUGGUUCGCUGGUUUUGAUGGGUGCCACUAAACUACUUAUUCAAAAGAUAAAUGGAUGACUACAUGGCUGUGUGGCAAUUAUAUAUACUGCAAUGAUGAUAUCGAUGUUUUGUUUCAUGAUAAUGAUGAUGAUGAUGAUGUUGAUGAUGAUGAUGAUGAUGAUGGAUGCUUUUAGUUUGAGUUAUGUUGUAGGGAUGAUAUUCUUGUUGAAUGUUGUUACUCAGUUAAUUUUUAGUUAAGUUGUAUGGAUGUUGAUGGAUGCUUUGAGUUUAAG